rnacentral:rRNA from 1 species
AACGAACGCUGGCGGCAGGCCUAACACAUGCAAGUCGAGCGAUUACUUCGGGAAGAGCGGCGGACGGGUUAGUAACGCGUGGGAACGUGCCCUUCACUACGGAAUAGUCCCGGGAAACUGGGUUUAAUACCGUAUACGCCCUUCGGGGGAAAGAAUUUCGGUGAAGGAUCGGCCCGCGUUGGAUUAGGUAGUUGGUGGGGUAACGGCCUACCAAGCCUACGAUCCAUAGCUGGUUUGAGAGGAUGAUCAGCAACACUGGGACUGAGACACGGCCCAGACUCCUACGGGAGGCAGCAGUGGGGAAUCUUAGACAAUGGGGGAAACCCUGAUCUAGCCAUGCCGCGUGAGUGACGAAGGCCCUAGGGUCGUAAAGCUCUUUCACCAGGGAAGAUAAUGACGGUACCUGGAGAAGAAACCCGGUAAC